rnacentral:rRNA from 1 species
AGAGAAUAGAUACCCCGGUAGUCCACGCUGUAAACGAUGAAUGCUAGCUGUUAGAAGUAUCGACCCUUCUAGUAGCGAAAGCUAACGCGUUAAGCAUUCCGCCUGUGGAGUACGGUCGCAAGACUAAAACAUAAAGGAAUUGACGGGGACCCGCACAAGCGGUGGAGCGUGUUCUUUAAUUCGAAGGUAAGCGAAGAACCUUACCAAGGUUUGACAUCCCGGUAGCCGUUCUCUGAAAGGAGAACUUCAUUUAGUUGGACCGGUGACAGGUGUUGCAUGGCCGUCGUCAGCUCGUGUCGUGAGAUGUUUGGUUAAGUCCAUCAACGAGCGCAACCCUUAUAGUUAGUUGGAUUUCUCUAGCUAGACUGCCCCGGUAACGGGGAGGAAGGAGGGGAUGAUGUCAGGUCAGUAUUACCCUUACACCUUGGGCUAGAAACACGCUACAAUGGCCAGUACAAAGGGCAGCCAAGUCGCAAGACGGAGCAAAUCCCAUCAAAGCUGGUCCCAGUUCGGAUAGGAGGCUGAAACUCGCCUCCUUGAAGUCGGAAUCGCUAGUAAC